rnacentral:tRNA from 1 species
GGGCGAUUAGCUCAGCUGGAUAGAGCAUCGGCCUUCGAAGCCGAGGGUCGCGGGUUCGAAUCCUGCAUCGCCCGCCA